UACAGAGGGGGCAAGCGUUAUUCGGAAUUAUUGGGCGUAAAGGGCGCGUAGGCGGCCAUUCAAGUGACGGGUGAAAGCCCUCGGCUUAACCGAGGAACUGCCUGUCAGACUGGAUGGCUUGAGACCGGGAGAGGUGAGUGGAAUUCCCAGUGUAGCGGUGAAAUGCGUAGAUAUUGGGAGGAACACCAGUGGCGAAGGCGGCUCACUGGACCGGAACUGACGCUGAGGCGCGAAAGCUAGGGGAGCGAAUGGG
rnacentral:rRNA from 1 species